rnacentral:rRNA from 1 species
CCCCCCCGGUUGUUAUAGCCGGCCGUUCCGUGGCGCGACACCCGACCGAGGUCGACGCUCCCGGUUUCGGGAGCGCUCAGCCGUCCCCUCUUUCCGAGCGGGUGGGCCGGCAAGCCGGCUCCUCGGCGGCGAGUCACCCUCCGCGGUGGCCGCCCCGUGGGGUCCGGCCGCUGGCCGUCCACUUUCCCGCGGGGGCGCUGUUCCUCCUCCGGAGGUUUGCGGCGAGUAGGUCGGUCACCCACCCGACCCGUCUUGAAACACGGACCAAGGAGUCUAACAUGUGCGCGAGUCAUUGGGUCUUGUUCAGGCCCAGAGGCGCAAUGAAAGUGAAGGCGCCGUCUCGCGACGGCCGCCGUGUUGGGACCCUCCGGCCUGCGCGCCGGGGGAGCACCAACGACCCGUCCCGUCCGGCUCGCCGGUGGAGCGGAGUCUGAGCGUACACGUUGGGACCCGAAAGAUGGUGAACUAUGCCUGGGCAGGACGAAGCCAGAGGAAACUCUGGUGGAGGUCCGCAGCGGU